rnacentral:rRNA from 1 species
UACGUAGGGACCAAGCGUUGUUCGGAUUUACUGGGCGUAAAGGGCGCGUAGGCGGCUUAACAAGUCACUUGUGAAAUCUCCGGGCUUAACUCGGAACGGCCAAGUGAAACUGUCAAGCUAGAGUGCAGAAGGGGCAAUCGGAAUUCUUGGUGUAGCGGUGAAAUGCGUAGAUAUCAAGAGGAACACCUGAGGUGAAGACGGGUUGCUGGGCUGACACUGACGCUGAGGCACGAAGGCCAGGGGAGCAAACGGG